rnacentral:rRNA from 1 species
UACGUAGGCAGCAAGCGUUGUUCGGAGUUACUGGGCGUAAAGGGUGUGUAGGCGGUUGGAUAAGUGUGGUGUGAAAUCUCCCGGCUCAACUGGGAGGGUGCGCUACAAACUGUCUGACUAGAGUGUGGGAUGGGUAAGUGGAAUUCCUGGUGUAGCGGUGAAAUGCGUAGAUAUCAGGAGGAACACCGAUGGCGAAGGCAGGUCUCUGGGCAUUAACUGACGCUGAGGAGCGAAAGCAUGGGGGAGCGAACAGG